CCCUUAGACGUUCUGGGCCGCACGCGCGCUACACUGACACAGGCAACGAGCUUUCCUUUACCGAAAGGUAUGGGUAAUCUUUUGAAACUGUGUCGUGCUGGGGAUAGAUCCUUGCAAUUUUUGAUCUUAAACGAGGAAUUCCUAGUAAGCGCGAGUCAUCAACUCGCGUUGAUUACGUCCCUGCCCUUUGUACACACCGCCCGUCGCUAUUACCGAUUGAAUGGCUUAGCGAGGCCUCAGGAUCCGCGCUUAAUGUGUGGAGAAUUUGGACAAACUACGUCAUUUAGAGGAAGUAAAAGUCGUAACA
rnacentral:rRNA from 1 species